rnacentral:rRNA from 1 species
AUUGAACGCUGGCGGCAGGCCUAACACAUGCAAGUCGAGCGAGAAAGGUCUUCGGACUGAGUACAGCGGCGGACGGGUGAGUAACGCGUGGGAAUGUGCCCCUUAGUACGGGACAACGUUGGGAAACUGACGCUAAUACCGUAUAAUAUCUCAGGAUCAAAGAUUUAUCGCUGAGGGAGCAGCCCGCGUCUGAUUAGCUAGUUGGUGAGGUAAUGGCUCACCAAGGCUACGAUCAGUAGCAGGUCUGAGAGGAUGAUCUGCCACACGUGGGACUGAGACACCGGCCCAGACUCCGUACGGGAGGCAGCUAGGUUAAGGAAUAGUUGGAACAAGUGGGACGAAACGCCUGACUCCAGCCAUCGCCGCGUGUGU